rnacentral:rRNA from 1 species
CCUACGGGUGGCAGCAGUGAGGAAUAUUGGUCAAUGGGCGGAAGCCUGAACCAGCCAAGUAGCGUGCAGGAUGACGGCCCUACGGGUUGUAAACUGCUUUUAUACGGGAAUAACGCGCCUUACGUGUAGGGCUUUUCAUGUACCGUAUGAAUAAGGACCGGCUAAUUCCGUGCCAGCAGCCGCGGUAAUACGGAGGAUGCGAGCGUUAUCCGGAUUUAUUGGGUUUAAAGGGUGCGUAGGCGGAAUGCCAAGUCAGCGGUAAAAUCGCGGGGCUCAACCUCGCUCCGCCGUUGAAACUGGCGUUCUUGAGUGGGCGAGAAGUAUGCGGAAUGCGUGGUGUAGCGGUGAAAUGCAUAGAUAUCACGCAGAACUCCGAUUGCGAAGGCAGCAUACCGGCGCCCAACUGACGCUGAAGCACGAAAGCGUGGGUAUCGAACAGGAUUAGAUACCCUUGUAGUC